CCUAAGAAAGUAACGUUUAAUGUUUGCUUUGUCCGUUCGGGGCUACUGUAGAAACAUGGCGGAGCAACAUGGCGGACUCAGUGGUGAAGACCUGCUCCCUAUGUAGAUAUGAAGGGCUCAAUCUAAUCUAACGAAAACACAAUGAUUCUUAAUUUCAGGUGUUUAU